rnacentral:rRNA from 1 species
UACGUAGGUGGCGAGCGUUGUCCGGAUUUACUGGGCGUAAAGAGCGCGCAGGCGGUCGUGCAAGUCGCGUGUGAAAGCCCCCGGCUCAACUGGGGAGGGUCACGCGAUACUGUUCGACUCGAAGGCAGGAGAGGGAAGUGGAAUUCCCGGUGUAGUGGUGAAAUGCGUAGAUAUCAGGAGGAACACCGGUGGUGUAGACGGCUCUCUGGACCGUAACUGACGCUGAGACACGAAAGCGUGGGUAGCAAACAGG